AUGCCUUUCUUGGUCGUCGCGCCAUCUGGAAACCAUAUGGGGGUGCCCUGCUCCCCGAAGGUACGUGUGUUUGCGUGGAGAAUUGUUACCAACUCCCUUGCCACUUGGGCCAACAAAUGCUCUAGACGACUUGAGGUGACUGAUAUUUGUCCCCUAUGUGGUAUGGAACGAGAGGAUUGCUUCCAUGCUCUGUGUAGGUGCACCCUGGCGAAGGAGUCGUGGCAUGCCAUGGCUAGGGACCGGAAUAUCCCAAGAGUGGAGGAGGUGGCGAACACGGGGCCGGAGUGGCUCUUCUCGCUCCUGGAGCCGCUUGAUGAGGACACACGCAUGAUUGUCCUGAUGACGUUGUGGCGUGUAUGGCACGUCCGCAACGAGAUCACCCACGAGAAGAAGCCUCCACCAACCGAAGCAUCCAGGCGAUUCCUCCAGGGCUACAUCAACUCCUUGUUGUGCAUCAAGCAACACCCUAAAGCUGACAUGGAGAAGGGGAAGAUGGUCGUCCUAGGGCCUCAGCAGCGCUCCGCUGCUCGUGCGGCUCCGAAGGAGGACAGGAGAUGGGUACCACCUGGGAGGGCGAGCACCAAACUGAACACCGACGGGAGCUAUGACCCGGCGACAGGCGCAGCAGGUGGAGGGAUGAUCCUCCGUGAUGAACUUGGGCAGAUCAUCUUCACGGCAUGCAGGGAGCUCCGAGCAUGUGAUAACGCUCUUGCAGCUGAACUUGAGGCGUGUAAGGAGGGGCUGGACUUGGCGCUGCACAGGACCGACCGGCCGAUCGUCGUCGAGAUGGACUCUAUGGAGGCGGUGGCCAUGUGCACGGCCGCUUCGAUUGAUCGCUCUGUCCAUCGCAGCCUCGUGCAGGAUAUCAAAAGACUGGCAGCCACAGAGGGACGGAAGGUCCAUUUUUCUCAUUGUAGUCGUUCUCAGAAUAAAGUGAGUCAUGAACUUGCGUCUUAUGAUCGUCGCACACCCCGUACUGCUGUAUGGUUCCAUUCAGGGACGGAUGCCAUUGUAAACUUGGUGAUGGCUGAAUUGCCACCUUGA
rnacentral:rRNA from 1 species